CAUUUUCUACAAGACCCCAAGAGAUGGACUUUCCUCUCCCCUUCCUCCUUUUAGAAAUGGCAUCCUUCAUCUCUGUCUAGGCAGGCCCAAUUAUCCAGAUACUUGGGGCUCCAAUAGGGUCUGAGUCAUUGGAACCAGGAACACCUGGCUGAAACAUGCCACAUAAUUAGAUUUUCUUUUUCUUUACCUUUUCUUUCUUAUUUUUAUAAGAGGCCCGGAAUUAGCCUCUUCGACUGGGGCGGAGUAGCUGGGGUGUGGGAAAGGAACACCUUCAUACAACUUCCAGCUUUCAGCCCCUUGGAGAGAUUUCCAAAUUCCCCAGAGCCUCUAGGACUUCCUUUCCUCGAUCUCUCGGCCACCUCCUCCUCCUUCUCCGAUCUGUUUUUUUUUCCCUCCUCCCACUGUCUUCUCUAUGGUUUAAUCAAAGUUCAGCGACUCCACUUGCCUCUCCUCUCAUUUCUUUCGGAAAGGGGAAACCAGACGACCCAGCGGCCACGGGACGAGUCGCCCCAACUCAACCCCAGCAGGACGCUGGAGGGGCCUCCCUUGCCCACCUCUCUUCGCUGGCACUGGCCUCCUGCACCCGGGUCUGCAGUCCCUCCGCCAUCUCACAAGUGUGCAGCCGCUAGGCCUGGGGGAUCCGAAUGACUGGGGCUGGAUAGGAAUGCCUUCGUGUUUCCCAAGACCCCCGGGCCUGCUCCACAAAGUUUGAAGGGCUUCUGCUUUGUGUGAUCAGGGAAGGGAUCCCACAUAUGGGAAUGGUUAGUGGAUUUUGGGACUCUCUAGGAGCCCCUGUUUUAAGAAGGAGGCCAAAUGUGCAGGCUCAGGCCAAGCAGCAGAGAUGAAUGAGGUGAUGACCACAGCCUUGAUCCGGCAGGAGCUCAGAGAUGCCCGGGAAGACGGGGGGCCCGAAUGGAAGCAGAAAAACACUUAUGGCCGCUGGGAAGUUGGGAGAGCCAGGCUGGGACUCCGGCAGGCCCAGGGAAAGUUCCCCUUCUAGGCUCUUUAUUAAAAAAUUUAAAAGGAGGAGUUGAGGCGCCUUGAAUUUUCCUUCGCGAGUUUGGAGACCAGCCGAUUUUUCACGAAGCAAGCAAAGACCGCGGUCCCGGAUCCUGCAACAUAUACCUCAUUUUCUCCAGGCCUCUCCACUUGCCCGAGCUCUCAGCCACCAGGAGACAGACGGAAGGGGCUUCUGGGCUGUGUUGGGAGCGGGCAUUGUCCCCUACCCACUCCUGCACAGUUUCCCAAAGUCCAGCCACCUCCGACCCUCCUUGGGGGAAAAAAUACCAGUACCCAGACACCUCUGCACCCUGUUAUAUGACUGGGCUUGCUUCAGGAAUAUCUUACAAAGAAGAAGGAGGAGGAGGAGGAACGGCUUGGAGUCAUGUUUACAUCUAGUUCUACUGAUCCGUUCACAUCUGGAGAGUUUAUUUAUAACUCCCUCUAUAACUCUCUGUUUGGAGGCACUGGUGGCUCUACUGACAGACUGAUGUCUAGGAAAUAUUGCUCUAUGUCUAAUGGUACCUAAAUGUGCUGUGGUUGUAUUUACAGAUUUACGUUUGAGGGAAAUAUAAUUAUUUCCAUUGUA
rnacentral:lncRNA from 1 species